rnacentral:tRNA from 1 species
GCCUCCGUGGUGUAGUGGUCAGCACGCUCGACGCGUAACCGAGAGGUCCGUGGUUCGAUUCCCGGCGAAGGCU